GUAGGGGUUAACAUGCCUGCCUGUCACGCAGGAGAUCGCGGGUUCAAAUCCCGUCGGG
rnacentral:tRNA from 1 species